rnacentral:rRNA from 1 species
UCCAGACUCCUACGGGAGGCAGCAGUGAGGAAUAUUGGGCAAUGGAGGCAACUCUGACCCAGCCAUGCCGCGUGAGUGAAGAAGGUUUUCGGAUUGUAAAGCUCUUUCGGAUGUGACGAUGAUGACGGUAGCAUCUAAAGAAGCCCCGGCUAACUACGUGCCAGCAGCCGCGGUAAUACGUAGGGGGCAAGCGUUAUCCGGAUUUACUGGGUGUAAAGGGGGCGCAGACGGCAGCGCAAGCCAGGAGUGAAAGCCCGGGGCCCAACCCCGGGACUGCUCUUGGAACUGCGCGGCUGGAGUGCAGGAGGGGCAGGCGGAAUCCCUGGUGUAGCGGUGAAAUGCGUAGAUAUCAGGAGGAACACCGGUGGCGAAGGCGGCCUGCUGGACUGCGACUGACGUUGAGGCCCGAAAGCGUGGGGAGCAAACAGGAUUAGAUACCCCUGUA